UGAGCCGCAGUUUCAGUGUCUAUGAGGCAUCAGGGAGGUUUUGGUGGACAGAGUCUAAUAAAACAUUAGAUAGCUUAUCCCCACCAAUAAUUGAAAAUUGGUCGUAAGUGAACCUGAACAACUUUGACAUGGAGCGUCCUCUUUGGAGUUAUUGUCACGUGACGGAAAUUGAAGGACUCAAGGGCUUCACGACCCAUGUCCCAAGCCAUUUUGAAGAGAAGAGAACCACCUCCCUUUACCAGGGUCUGCAGGGGAGUGGCAGGCACAGCGCUCUUCUCCAGCCAGUUGUGUGCUGGGUAGAUAUCCCUGGACCUCCUGCUUCUUUUCUUCCCUAAUGUUCUCAGUCCGAAAGCUCUGACUAUCAAUGCACACCUUCAGGUGUGGCUAUGUGGUUAAUGCUGUGCACCUUUAGAAAACAUGAUCUUUUAUUACUGUAAACAGACUUUAAUCAAACUUAAUCAAAUAAAGUAAAUAUUUGGUAAAUGAUAUAA